rnacentral:tRNA from 3 species
GAGAUAUUAGUAAAAGAAAUUACAUCACUUUGUCAGGGUGAAAUUACAAGUUAAAUUCUUGUAUAUCUUU